GCAGGUUGAAGCGCGGGUAAGACCGCGUGGAGGACCGAACCCACCUGGGUUGAAAACCGGGGGGAUGACCUGGGGCUAGGGGUGAAAGGCCAAUCAAAUUCCGUGAUAGCUGGUUCUCUCCGAAAUGCAUUUAGGUGCAGCGUCGGUCGAUUGCGUCGCGGGGGUAGAGCUACCGGAUGCUUGCGGGCCCUUGUUGGGUACCAACAGCAGCCGAACUCCGAAUACCGUUGACGUGUAUUCCGGCAGUGAGUCGGCGGGGGAUAAGCUCCGUCGUCGAGAGGGAGACAGCCCAGACCGUCGUCUAAGGUCCCGAAGCGUGUGCUAAGUGGGAAAGGAUGUGGAGUCGCAUAGACAGCCAGGAGGUUGGCUCAGAAGCAGCCAUCCUUGAAAGAGUGCGUAACAGCUCACUGGUCUAGUGGUUCCGCGCCGACAAUGUAGCGGGGCUCAAGCACACCACCGAAGACGCGGCAGCAAUCUUCAUGGUUGCUGGGUAGGAGAGCGUCCUGCGAGGGGCGAAGCGGCCGGGUAACCGUGCCGUGGACUUCGUGGGAGUGAGAAUGCAGACAUGAGUAGCGAGAGACGGGUGAGGAUCCCGUCCGCUGGAUGACCAAGGGUUCCGGGGCCACGUUCGUCGUCCCCGGGUGAGUCGGGUCCUAAGGCGAGGCCGACAGGCGUAGUCGAAUGGAUGAACGGGUGGAUAUUCCCGUACCGACCAUGGACCGGCAAAACCGAGACGGUGAGUACUAACCUCCGCCUCGUGGUGGUUCCUUCCUUCGGGUUGGUGUCGCCGCGUGGUGUUGGGACUGUAGCCGUAGUAGGUCAGCGCAGGGGUGACACGGAAUGGGAGCCGGCCGCGGAGGUGGUUUUCCGUGGUCAAGCACGCAGCCAGUCAUGUAGGCAAAUCCGCAUGGCGCGCAUGGCGAGGUGUGAUGAUGGGAGCCUUUUGGCUCGAUAUCCGGUUGUCCAGGCCGUCGAGAAAAGCCUCGGCGUGAGGGCCAUGGCCGCCCGUACCCCAAACCGACACUGGUGGUCAGGUAGAGAAUACCAAGGCGAUCGAGCGAAUCCUGGUCAAGGAACUCGGCAAAUCACUCCCGUGCCUUCGGUAUAAGGGAGACCCGCUGGGGUGAACCGGCUAGCCCGGGGAGCUUUGGUGGGUGGCACAGACCAGGGGGUAGCGACUGUUUACCAAAAACACAGGUGCAUGCGAAGGCGAAAGCCGCUGUAUAUGCACUGACGCCUGCCCGGUGCCGGAAGGUUAAGAGGAUCCGUCAACUCUUCGGAGCGAAGCGGUGAAUUCAAGCCCCGGUAAACGGCGGUGGUAACUAUAACCAUCCUAAGGUAGCGAAAUUCCUUGUCGGGUAAGUUCCGACCUGCACGAAUGGCGUAA
rnacentral:rRNA from 1 species